CCGCUGAAUUUAAGCAUAUCAAUAAGGGGAGGAAAAGAAACUAACAAGGAUUCCCUCAGUAACGGCGAGUGAAGCGGGAAGAGCCCAGCGCCGAAUCCCCCUUUGUUAUGGAGGCGGGAACUGUGGCGUAAGGGACUGGUCAUGCGCGGGUGGAGGACGGUCCAAAUCCUCGUGAUCGUUGGUCCUGGCCGUAGAGGGUGUCAGCCCCGUGGGGCCGUCAGAAGCCCGUGCGCAGCCGGUCUCUGGAGUCGGGUUGUUUGAGAAUACAGCCCAAAGCGGGUGGUAAACUCCAUUUAAGGCUAAAUUCCAUGGCAAGUCCGAUAGCGAACAAGUGCCGUGAGGGACCGUUGAAAAGAACCUUGAAGAGAGAGUUCAAGAGCACGUGAAACCGUUCCGAGAGAAAACGGUUGGGCCCGCGAGGCGUGCCGCGGCGGGAUUCAGCCGUCGGCCUGUUGGGAGGCUCGGGUUGUCGGAGGAUGGUGGGGGAAACCCUGCCUAUGCCCCGACGGCCUGGGUCGACCGGCGGGCUGGCGGUGCACUUCUUGUCGUGUGCGGGCCGCGUCCGGAUGCAUCGAUCGGCUGGAAAGCGUUGGCGGGAAGGUGACCGCGGUUGCUUCGGCGGCCACGGAGUUAUUAGCCCGUUGGUGCGACAUACGGCUAGAUUGGCGUCCGAGGCGACACCCGGUGGAGUUCGCGGCCUUUUGGCCCUUCGGUUCCGCUCGGAACAGGGUUUGUUCGCGCCGAUGGGUGUGGUACCCGGUGCUCCGGGGGUCGCUCCUCUGCCUGGGAGUUCCGCGGCUUAGCGAGGCGGUGGCCCAACCGACCCGUCUUGAAAGACGGACCAAGGAGUCCGGCGGGCGUGCAAGUCGUAGGGUGUUCGAAACCCGAAGGCGAAGCGAAAGCGUAGGUCCGAUCCCGCUCCCUCGGGGGUGGGCGCAGGGCCGUCCUCGCUAAGAGGCUUGUGUCCUCUGGCGGGCGAUCUGAGCACGUCCGGCGGGACCCGAAAGAUGGUGAACUAUGCCUGAGCAGGCCGAAGCCAGGGGAAACUCUGGUGGAGGGCCGCAGCGGGUCUGACGUGCAAAUCGAUCGUCAGACUUGUGUAUAGGGGCGAAAGACUAAUCGAACCAUCUAGUAGCUGGUUCCCU
rnacentral:rRNA from 1 species